CUCCUUGCCUGAAGCGAGACGCCACCAAAUCGACAGGUUUAAUUCAUGCCGUGUUCCUGGUCGUGUGGGUGGAGUCAGCCUCAGCUUUGACCCUCGCAACAUAUGCCCCUACCAUAGUAAACCCACACCAGGAGGCCACCUCAUGGCUCUGGGGAGGCUCCUCCUGAUUCUGUCUCUUGUCUCAGGUAGGAACCCAGCUCCUUCUGUAGGCCUCAUGCACACAUCUUCAUCCUGCAUUCCUUGAGUUAUGGGUCCCAUGAUUUGCUCGCUGUGAAAUUGCCCCACAAUGCAGUACUGUUGGUUGAAUCCCUCCCACAUUGAAGAAGGGUCUCGAACCCAUCUCUUUGAGAGCCACUUCUCUCCUGAUUUCCUGACAGCUCCAUCAAUGAGCCCAACAGCAUCUGCUAUGAUUAUCUAUGCAUUUGCUGUUUGAAUGUUGCUUCUACUGGAGCUACUGGAGGGACAUGAACCAGCAACAUGGUGGUGACACACACACAAGCUGUGUAUCCAGAGUCCUGUGUCUGUGUCUAAAAUUCUUUGUCUGUUGUUGAUGCACAUUGUUUACUGAGUUGUACAUGACUUUGGAGAUAAGUGUCUGACAAAUGAAUCAGUGAAAAUGUAAUUGCUGUGCUGUAGCCUGUCAGGAUUUCUGGACCUCCUUCUGCAGGUGUGUCUACAGGUGAUGGAGACGAGAGCACCGGCCCUGCUGAGGUCCGCCUGGCGCAGUGGCUGGAAGAGAUGCUCGAGAACGAAACAACUCAACUGCAGCCGCUCCAGGAAGGGAGGAAGCCUGUCCGGGUCAUCCUGGACCUUCAUGUGCUCAGCAUUCUGGACGUGCAGUUCUGGGAAGACGAGCGUCUCUCCUGGGAUCCCGCUCACCACCGUGGCGUUCGCAGAGUGAACCUCCCUGAGGAGAAGCUCUGGGUUCCUGAUGUCGUCCUUGCUGAGAUGUGAGUAGGACGGGUCUUAGGACGGGUCUCAGGACAUCAGGCCAGUGUGGGUUUGCGUUCUUUUUGUUUCCUCGUGUCCAGCUACCCGGUGGUUUAUUUCACAUCCGUGCACCAGCAAACAGCUUUCUGUAGGGUCAGGGCUUAGUGUUAGGGUUACGAGUAAUAAAAUUACAUUCA
rnacentral:lncRNA from 1 species